GAUAUCCUUAUCCUUUCCCCUAGGUUUAUCUUUCCGAAGCUUUUCCUUUUUUUCUUUUAUUAUUUUAUGUAGUUCAUAUACAUCCUUGGUGAUAAGAUCAAUGGGCUGUAUAAACUGGAAGUCUUCGUCCAUAUCUGUGUCAUCAUUGGUCAAAUUUGCUUCCAAUUCAAGAUAUUGGAUUCCCUUUUGUACAAAGGUAACCAGACCACCAGGAGGAACUAAAUUUCCAUCUAUUGGGCUCUUAUUGAUCCCUGCCUCAUAUCCUAAAGCAAAUGCGGAAUGUGUGAACCCUGAUUCCUGAAGGUACCGGAAAACGAGGUAGUUGAGCUCCGACGAGGUGAGAGAGAUCAUUUUGCCGAAUGGACGCCGGAGGAAACAAACACCAUGUGCUUUCU
rnacentral:misc_RNA from 1 species